rnacentral:lncRNA from 1 species
AGAAGCCCCCUGCUACCUUCCCCAUCACUCAGGAGAUGCCCCUUCUGAGAAGGGAAGCUUGAAGAACAAAGGACCCCACCAAGGCGCCGCUCCCCCUCCAGACUCCCACUGAAGCCUCUUCCUCCUACUGCCCUGCCCCAAACAUGAUUGUGCCCAAGGCCUGCCUUGCUUGCAGCCUUCCCUUGCUGAUGCUGCCCCUUCCUUGUGCUGCGAUCCCUGCUGACUCGCUCAGCCUCAAGUCUUCCGCUAACAAAGGCCUCCUCUUCUGAGUGUCUCCAGCUGCCUUGAAGUCACUUCUAAAUUCUCCAACUACUGUGAUGGACCAGAAUCGAUCCAGUGAGCGAUUGGAGCCCUGGGACAGGGGAAUGGCGGUGAUGUCUAGGAGGUCGCCGGAGACGUAGGCAUGGGAAUUAGGAGAGCGGGCAGCCCGAUGGAUUGGGGAUCUCCCUAGAGGGGCCUGGCACAGUGCUAACCAAGCCCUGGGGACCCGAAGACAAGACCAAAGAAUCUUUGCUGGCAAAGAGCGCCCACUUUACCAGCUGUGGGAGUGGAGAACAACGAGAGGGAAGAACGGAAGCCAGCAGAAGUUGGGGGGAGAAGAGCGAGAUGGCCACAGAGGUUUCCUGAAGCUCUUGGACAUUGCCAUUGCUGUAACGCCGGACCUUUCCCAACGAGAAAGGGCUUGUGACUUUUUACACAAUCGUGAACCGUCUCCCCAGGGACACUGCAGGAGAGCUCUUCUUCCCUGUGGGCUCUCUGAGGCAGGUUCAGUGGCCUUAGACCUCCUGCCAAGCCGGAACUAGCCGCUAAGCUCAUUUCUUCGAAUUCAGUCCUGUGUCCUGGACGGAGGGGGGUGAGCAGUGGUCAGAAUCUGCCUUCCCGGCGCCUUUCUUUUGCCCAGUAAGUGAAUUUGCGUCUUCAGUCCUAAGAAAGGGACCUUCCCCGAAUGCAUGUUCUCAGCCAUCGCUACCCCCACAAAAGGAUGAGUCAGGGAGGAGGCAUCUCCAGAGAUCCUCGGGAU